UAUACCAUUCAUUGUAAUUUGAUUAUUUUGCCAAAUAUCACCCACCUUAGAUGGGCAUAUUAGGAGAAAGAUCUGCUUAUUUGAUGACCUCACCAAAUGAGCAGAUCUUAAUGUAUAUGGGCUCCUUUAGUAGACUGUGCACUGAAUGGUCCAUAACUGGUUUUCAGUAUGGAAGACAUUUUGGCUGAUUCUGAUGAAGUAGAGGAAGAGGAAGAGAAACCAACCAAACAACAAAAGAAACGGGCCCGGCAGAAGAGCCAGGCUUGGCUUAAAGAAGGGGAGGAAGAUGACCCAGUAAAUUUCCUUGAUCCCAAAGCUGCACAGCGUGUACUGGCUCUCGACAAAAGGCCAUGAUUCCCAGAUCUGGAUGUAAUGGAGAAGAAGGGCACGUAACCUCCUUUGCAACCACAGACUGGCACA